UCCGUAGGUGAACCUGCGGAGGGAUCAUUACCGAGUUAUACAACUCAUCAACCCUGUGAACAUACCUAUAACGUUGCCUCGGCGGGAACAGACGGCCCCGUAACACGGGCCGCCCCCGCCAGAGGACCCCCUAACUCUGUUUCUAUAAUGUUUCUUCUGAGUAAACAAGCAAAUAAAUUAAAACUUUUCAACAACGGAUCUCUUGGCUCUGGCAUCGAUGAAGAACGCAGCGAAAUGCGAUAAGUAAUGUGAAUUGCAGAAUUCAGUGAAUCAUCGAAUCUUUGAACGCACAUUGCGCCCGCCAGUAUUCUGGCGGGCAUGCCUGUUCGAGCGUCAUUACAACCCUCAGGCCCCCGGGCCUGGCGUUGGGGAUCGGCGGAAGCCCCCUGCGGGCACAACGCCGUCCCCCAAAUACAGUGGCGGUCCCGCCGCAGCUUCCAUUGCGUAGUAGCUAACACCUCGCAACUGGAGAGCGGCGCGGCCACGCCGUAAAACACCCCAACUUCUGAAUGUUGACCUCGAAUCAGGUAGGAAUACCCGCUGAACUUAAGCAUAUCAAUAAGCGGAGGAA
rnacentral:rRNA from 1 species